AGCUAGUUGCAUCGAUGUUUAAAUAAUUGAUGUGAUAUCGACUAUGUCGAAUAAAAUUCUAGGUAGAGUUAUGAUAAUGACAUUGUCUGCCUAUGUGUCUUGACCAAAUUACGUGCCAGCAGUCGCGGUAAUACGUAGAAGACUAGUGUUAUUCAUCUUUAAUAGGUUUAAAGGGUACCUAGACGGUAUAUCAAGCCUGCAAUACGGGACUAAUGUACUAGAGUUACUUACGAGGGGGUAUUAAAGUACUGCUGGUGUAGAGAUGAAAUUCUGUCAUACCUCAUUUCGUAAGAAAUACUACGGCACAGGUAUAGGCGAAAGCAUCCCCUUAUGUGAUAACUGACGUUGAAGGACGAAGGCUUUGUGUAGCGAACAGGAUUAGAUACCCCAAUAGUCAAAGCAGAAAAUGAUGAAUGUCAUAGA
rnacentral:rRNA from 1 species